rnacentral:tRNA from 1 species
GCCGUAGUGCAGUAGGAGAGCAUCUGCUUUGCAUGCAGAAGGUCCCAGGUUCAAACCAUGGCAUCUCCA